rnacentral:rRNA from 1 species
CCUACGGGGAGCAGCAGUGGGGAAUAUUGGGCAAUGGGCGAAAGCCUGACCCAGCAACGCCGCGUGAAGGAAGAAGGCUUUCGGGUUGUAAACUUCUUUUGACAGGGAAGAGCAGAAGACGGUACCUGUCGAAUAAGCCACGGCUAACUACGUGCCAGCAGCCGCGGUAAUACGUAGGUGGCAAGCGUUGUCCGGAUUUACUGGGUGGAAAGGGCGUGUAGCCGGGCUGACAAGUCAGAUGUGAAAUCCGGGGGCUCAACCCCCGAACUGCAUUUGAAACUGUUGGUCUUGAGUAUCGGAGAGGCAGGCGGAAUUCCUAGUGUAGCGGUGAAAUGCGUAGAGAUCAAGAGGAAUACUCAUUGCGAAGGCGACCUGCUAGAACAUAACUGACGCUGAUGCGCGAAAGCGUGGGGAGCAAACAGGAUUAGAUACCCGUGUAGUC